rnacentral:tRNA from 1 species
GGAGAGGUGGCCGAGUUGGCUGAAGGCAGCCGCCUGCUAAGCGGUUGAUCGGGUAAAACCGGUCCGGAGGUUCGAAUCCUCUCCUCUCCGCCA